GGAGAGGUGGCAGAGUGGUCGAUUGCGUCUGACUUGAAAUCAGAUGAAUCCGCAAGGGUUCCGGGAGUUCGAAUCUCCCCCUCUCCG
rnacentral:tRNA from 2 species